rnacentral:rRNA from 2 species
AGUCGAGCGAUCGAUGGGAGCUUGCUCCCUGAGAUUAGCGGCGGACGGGUGAGUAACACGUGGGCAACCUGCCUAUAAGACUGGGAUAACUUCGGGAAACCGGAGCUAAUACCGGAUACGUUCUUUUCUCGCAUGAGAGAAGAUGGAAAGACGGUUUACGCUGUCACUUAUAGAUGGGCCCGCGGCGCAUUAGCUAGUUGGUGAGGUAAUGGCUCACCAAGGCGACGAUGCGUAGCCGACCUGAGAGGGUGAUCGGCCACACUGGGACUGAGACACGGCCCAGACUCCUACGGGAGGCAGCAGUAGGGAAUCUUCCGCAAUGGACGAAAGUCUGACGGAGCAACGCCGCGUGAACGAAGAAGGCCUUCGGGUCGUAAAGUUCUGUUGUUAGGGAAGAACAAGUACCAGAGUAACUGCUGGUACCUUGACGGUACCUAACCAGAAAGCCACGGCUAACUACGUGCCAGCAGCCGCGGUAAUACUUGGCAAGCGUUGUCCGGAAUUAUUGGGCGUAAAGCGCGCGCAGGUGGUUCCUUAAGUCUGAUGUGAAAGCCCACGGCUCAACCGUGGAGGGUCAUUGGAAACUGGGGAACUUGA